rnacentral:rRNA from 1 species
ACGACUCUCGGCAACGGAUAUCUCGGCUCUCGCAUCGAUGAAGAACGUAGCGAAAUGCGAUACUUGGUGUGAAUUGCAGAAUCCCGUGAACCAUCGAGUCUUUGAACGCAAGUUGCGCCCGAGGCCACCCGGCCGAGGGCACGCCUGCCUGGGCGUCACG